rnacentral:tRNA from 1 species
CGCGGGGUGGAGCAGUUCGGUAGCUCGUCGGGCUCAUAACCCGAAGGUCAUCGGUUCAAAUCCGGUCCCCGCUACCA